UUUCGACACACUAUCAUUAACUGAAUCCAUAGGUUAAUGAGGCGAACCGGGGGAACUGAAACAUCUAAGUACCCCGAGGAAAAGAAAUCAACCGAGAUUCCCCCAGUAGCGGCGAGCGAACGGGGAGGAGCCCAGAGCCUGAAUCAGUGUGUGUGUUAGUGGAAGCGUCUGGAAAGGCGCGCGAUACAGGGUGACAGCCCCGUACACAAAAAUGCACAUAUUGUGAGCUCGAUGAGUAGGGCGGGACACGUGGUAUCCUGUCUGAAUAUGGGGGGACCAUCCUCCAAGGCUAAAUACUCCUGACUGACCGAUAGUGAACCAGUACCGUGAGGGAAAGGCGAAAAGAACCCCGGCGAGGGGAGUGAAAAAGAACCUGAAACCGUGUACGUACAAGCAGUGGGAGCCUCUUAAUGGGGUGACUGCGUACCUUUUGUAUAAUGGGUCAGCGACUUAUAUUCUGUAGCAAGGUUAACCGAAUAGGGGAGCCGAAGGGAAACCGAGUCUUAACUGGGCGUUAAGUUGCAGGGUAUAGACCCGAAACCCGGUGAUCUAGCCAUGGGCAGGUUGAAGGUUGGGUAACACUAACUGGAGGACCGAACCGACUAAUGUUGAAAAAUUAGCGGAUGACUUGUGGCUGGGGGUGAAAGGCCAAUCAAACCGGGAGAUAGCUGGUUCUCCCCGAAAGCUAUUUAGGUAGCGCCUCGUGAAUUCAUCUCCGGGGGUAGAGCACUGUUUCGGCAAGGGGGUCAUCCCGACUUACCAACCCGAUGCAAACUGCGAAUACCGGAGAAUGUUAUCACGGGAGACACACGGCGGGUGCUAACGUCCGUCGUGAAGAGGGAAACAACCCAGACCGCCAGCUAAGGUCCCAAAGUCAUGGUUAAGUGGGAAACGAUGUGGGAAGGCCCAGACAGCCAGGAUGUUGGCUUAGAAGCAGCCAUCAUUUAAAGAAAGCGUAAUAGCUCACUGGUCGAGUCGGCCUGCGCGGAAGAUGUAACGGGGCUAAACCAUGCACCGAAGCUGCGGCAGCGACACUAUGUGUUGUUGGGUAGGGGAGCG
rnacentral:rRNA from 1 species